CAUGACAUGAUAGCGCAAAACGUCAGCCCUUCGAUAAUUAAGGAGAAGAAUAGGUUGUGCAUCGGGGUCCGCAUAUGCUACGCAGUUGCUGAACCAUUUGUAAAGAACGUCACAG